rnacentral:rRNA from 1 species
AUUGAACGCUGGCGGUAGGCCUAACACAUGCAAGUCGAACGCGAAAGUCCUUCGGGAUGAGUAGAGUGGCGGACGGGUGAGUAACGCGUAGGAAUCUAUCCUGUAGUGGGGGAUAACGUUUCGAAAGGAACGCUAAUACCGCAUACGCCCCAACGGGGGAAAGCGGGGGAUCUUCGGACCUCGUGCUAUAGGAGGAGCCUGCGUCGGAUUAGCUAGUUGGUGAGGUAAAGGCUCACCAAGGCGACGAUCCGUAGCUGGUCUGAGAGGAUGAUCAGCCACACCGGAACUGAGACACGGUCCGGACUCCUACGGGAGGCAGCAGUGGGGAAUAUUGCGCAAUGGGCGAAAGCCUGACGCAGCCAUACCGCGUGUGUGAAGAAGGCCUCGG